rnacentral:lncRNA from 1 species
AGAAAAACAAAUAGCAAAGAAAAAUUAAGAAGCAACAAAAAUAAAAUAUUUAGAAAUGAAAAUGUUUACAAUUGAAAACAAAAACAAAAAUAAAAAAAAAACUAAACGUCGCCUAGUUGAAAUAUCAACAGUCCCCGGCAACGGCGUCAAAAACUUGAUGACUUCUCGGCAAGUGUACCAAUAAUGUCGAAUUAUUAAAAAUAUUG